AGAGCUUCGAGAUAUCAAGGAAAAAGGUGAAGAUGUUAUUAGAAUAUUGCCGACAUCUUCUAUUAUCUAAUCUUAUACUAGAACUACCGUCAAACUAAAGACUGAAAACAGAAGAACCCAAUUCAUAAGAUGGGAUACAUAAGUUACAACAUAUGGUCCAUUAGAAAGCCUGAGAUGAUCCGCAUAGAUGUAUGUUAGGGAUUGUUCAGGAAGAAGAAGAGCUCGGUAUAGAACUAACCUUUUCCAGAAGCCCCGUGAUCUCGCUUUUCAGUUUUGCCUUUGUCUCUCUUGAUAAACUAUCCCCGGAUUUCUCCAGCAUUGCUGUCAUCAUCAACAGAUUCUGCCUCAUUGCAUCCAUACUUGUUGGUAUAUUGUUCGGUUUCGGAACUGGACUAACAUGUGAGAUUACCGGCAUUCGUGGGGCAAUGUUCCUUUGAACGGUUAUCAGUUUCUGCUGUAACCGGAAAUUCACUAAGGUUUCACCAAAUGGGUUAGCUUUCUCUAAGCUUUUAACUGCUUCUAUCGCGUCUGCACUACUCACAAAGGCGACCUGUGCACCACUAAAUUCUUCUGAAACGUGUGUUUCUGAAGAAUCCAACGGGCCAAACGCAGAGAAUGUCGAGGUUAGGUCGUCCCUUGAAGGCAUUGACACUUGGGAGGAAAAUUUCAAGAAGAGAAUUGUGAUUCCUCUGGUUAAUCCAUUAGGUGACUCCUCUUUCUUCCGACGUCUUCUGCGCUGAGUAGGCUCAACUUGAGGCAGAACCAAAGUUGGCUCUGUAUUUGUUCCAUUUAAGUCAGGUAUCCCAGUAGUGGCACUGGCAUGUGCAACUAUUGGAAGCUCUUCUGCAUUCUUCCUCUUCCUUCCUCUCUUUUUCUUCCCUGAAUAAGUGAAAAGGUCUGCACUCGUGAAGUGUUUGUAUGAAGUUGGCUGGCUAGAAACAAACUGAGUUCCUGAGACUCCCUGAUGAGCUGUCACCUGAAAGUUAAGUAUCGUAGAUCUUGGUGUCUUCUCCUCUUGUGGGCAGACAUUAUGCUGAAUUAAAGUCUCAGGUCUUUGCAUAUGGUCAAACUCUGCAGUACCCAAAGCAUUGCCUCCGCUGUUCAGGUCCGGUACAAGUAUAGCAGCAGGUCUGCUGAGUGUAUCUGCCGUCAUAGCUUUCCUGUCUGGAGCUUGUACCAACAGUUUGUCUUGAAAAUCUUUCGCCAACUGCACCUUUGCAACAGAACUAGGAAAAUUUGAGUGACCAAUGAUAUGAUUGAUCUUUGUCUUCCCUGAAUUAUUUGACUUGGAGGCCUCGUGGUCAAUAUUUGGAGUUGAAACACCAUUAAGAGAUUCGAUGUUGGACUUCUCUAAUAUCUGCAACUCAAAGGUCUUCUGCUCAGUAUCAGCAAC